AAUAAGUGCAGUUUUGCACUAUUUACGUUCAACGUUUGACUGUUCGUUUUAUUUGAAAUUUUUUUAUGAUUAGUAUUUUUAUUGCUAUUAGAUGAUAAAACAUGAAUAGUACUUUAUGUGUGACUAAAUAUUUUCAAAUUUUUCACAAUUUUUUAAAUAAGACGGACGGUCAAACGUUGGGCACAGAUAUUCACGGCUGCACUUAUU
rnacentral:pre_miRNA from 1 species